ensembl:lncRNA
ACUGGCACCUGUGUAGCCUUCGCAGAGGGUCUUUACUGACUCUGAGGGCUGUAGCAUGGUGAAAAGGAGAAGACGAUGGCACCCCACUCCAGUACUCUUGCCUAGAAAAUCCCAUGGACAGAGGAUCCUGUGUUUUGCCGCUGGUAAUGCAAGCACCGUAUCCUAUUAGAAGCUUGACUCCUCAGCAAAUUGCUCAAUUACAUCACUAGCCACCUCCACUUCAUUGGGCCCUGUUCAUCUGAUGACAACUUAGUAUAAUGUAAAACAUCUAAUGAUGCUGUGGAGCUACCUUGGAACUGGGGAGAGGAUGACCAUGGGGACUUCUAGGUCCCAAAAUUAUUUUCUUCCAUUUGUUAAAACAGAUCUACAGUGACUUAAAUGGUAUGAAUGCCAAGCCAGUUGAGAAGUGGAAGUGCAGGACCUUGAAAUGUCCUUCAGGCACAUGCAAGCCUGCUUGGGCAUGUGAUUCCAUUCUUUUCCAUGGGUUUACAAUGUAAACAAGCUGGGGGGGUGUCUUCUUAAGUAGCUACAUGAUUAUAAAAAGGGCUAAUAGCUACUUCUAAUCUUACCUACUCAAUGCUGGAGGAAUUUCCUCUUAUUAAGGACUUUGUCUUGGAUUUUGGAUUUAAGAUUUUAUAACCUAAAUGGAGCAAAAGAGGGAAAAUGAGCUAUUUAGUUUCAUACAUUCCAACCAGAAACUUUCAGAAGUGUACCCUAUGGACACAGCUGCUCAUCAGAGAGGUUAUUUUUUUUUGUUUGUUUAAGGGUCAGCCCUUAGCAAAACUGUGAAAUAGCCAAUGUUGAUCCUAAGACAUGUUCUGAUACCUUUUUGAGUUCUCUUUGGCUCCUCAACCCCAGGUGUCUGGUGACUUCCUAAUGGCUUGGAUCUUCCAAGUUAUGAAGGAAAGAGAUCUGGUAAAUUAAAAUAGAGUGUCAAGAUACUUAAUCUAUUAUCUCUGUUAGAAAUUUUGAAAGAGACUGCUCAUAAAGGGUAAAUCCGUAUUGGUGGGAGUUGAACUAUAAAUGGUCUCAGUGAAAGAAGUGCACACAGUGCAUACAGAGAUUAGGAGACUCUAAUCUUUAUAUCCCAACUGCCUAUUAUGCUGCAGUAUAAAGCCAACCCUACCUUGAGCUCUUAUCAAGUAAUGGUCAGAAAGCUAAACUAUUCAAAAUUAAAUAAUUAUAACUACCAUUCCCCAAGUAUCAGUAAGCCUCUGGGGUUGAAAUAAUCUUGGAAGGUACAUAAUGUAAGGUUAAAAGAAAAAUAACUUUGAUCUACAAACCUAUCAAUCAAUUUGAGAACUGUUUAGAAAAAUCACAUUGUGGUUAAGGCACCCAAAGCUUAGAAAGAUCAAGGGAAUUAUUUUCAGUUCAAAUAUCUAUAAUCUUUUGGAACAUACAGCUCUAGGAACUCAAAACUGAUUUUUUUUGUGUGUGUGUGGAUUAGAAUUGUGUCUCCUAGUUUGAAUAUGUCAUUGCCCUUUAUUUUCCAUAUAAAUAAAAUGCACCAUGUUUUUAUGAGAAUUUUGAUAUAAAGCUAAACAGAAGGUUCAACAUAUUUAUAUUAUUA